UAAAAAAAAAAAAAAAAUUCAUUACUCAGUCAUAAUAUAAAAAAAAAAAAAAAAAAAAAAAAAAAAAAAAAAAAAAAAAAAAAAAAAAAAAAAAAAAAAAAAUUGUAAAUCAAUAAAACACAUAAAUGUAUAAUCAAAAAAAAAAGAUCAAUAUAUUCAUAAAAAAAAAAAAAAAAAAAAAAAAAAAAAAAAAAAAAAAAAAAAAAAAAAAAAAAACUCUGUAAAUCAAUAAAAAACAUACAUGUAUAAUCAAAAAAGAUCAAUAUACUCAUAAAAAAAAAAAAAAAAAAAAAAAAAAAAAAAAAAAAAAAAAAAAC
rnacentral:misc_RNA from 1 species